GACGAACGCUGGCGGCGUGCCUAACACAUGCAAGUCGAGCGAAUAAAGUUGCUUCGGGCACGUAUUUAGCGGCGGACGGGUGAGUAACAAGUGGGCAACUUGCCUCCUAGUGAGGAAUAGCCUACCGAGAGGAAGAGUAAUACCGCCCAAGAAUGUAGUACAGCAUGAUGCAGCAAUUAAAAGAGCCAUCCGCUAUGAGAUGGGCCCGAGGCGCCUUAGCUAGUUGGUGAGGUAAUGGCUCACCAACGCGACGAGGCGUAGCCGCCAUGAGAGGCUGAGCGGACACACUGGCAGGAAGACACAGUCCAGAAUCCUACGGGAGGGAGGAGUGGGGGACGGUGCAAAAUGGGGUAAGUCAUGAAGGAGCAAGGAUGCGAGAGUUAUGACGGCAGUCGGGUUGAAAAGCGCAAGCUACAGUGACGAUAAUGACGGUACCUGAGGAGAAAGCCACGGCUAACUACGUG
rnacentral:rRNA from 1 species